UACAGAGGUCUCAAGCGUUGUUCGGAUUCAUUGGGCGUAAAGGGUGCGUAGGCGGCGCGGUAAGUCGGGUGUGAAAUCUUGGAGCUUAACUCCGAAACUGCAUUCGAUACUGCCGUGCUUGAGGACUGGAGAGGAGACUGGAAUUUACGGUGUAGCGGUGAAAUGCGUAGAUAUCUGGAGGAACACCGGUGGCGAAGGCGGCAUCCUGGACCGGCAUUGACGCUGAUGAGCGAAAGCCAGGGGAGCAAACGGG
rnacentral:rRNA from 1 species